rnacentral:rRNA from 1 species
UACAGAGGGUGCGAGCGUUAAUCGGAAUUACUGGGCGUAAAGCGCGCGUAGGCGGCUUUGCAAGUCGAGUGUGAAAUCCCCAGGCUUAACCUGGGAACUGCAUUCGAGACUGCAUAGCUAGAGUAUGGGAGAGGGAAGUGGAAUUUCAGGUGUAGCGGUGAAAUGCGUAGAUAUCUGAAGGAACACCAAUGGCGAAGGCAGCACUCUGGGACGGUACUGACGCUGAGACGCGAAAGCGUGGGGAGCAAACAGG